UACCCAAUCCCGAUUCGGGGAGGUAGUGACAAUAAAUAACAAUACAGGGCCAACGGUCUUGUUAUUGGAAUGAGAACAAUUUAAAUAACUUAACGAGGAUCAAUUAGAGGGCAAGUCUGGUGCCAGCAGCCGCGGUAAUUCCAGCUCUAAUAGCGUAUAUUAAAGUUGUUGCAGUUAAAAAGCUCGUAGUCGGAUGUCGGGCUCGGGCAAGCUGUCGGCCUUUGGUCGGACGGCAGGCUCGGGUCUUUCUGCCUGAGGAACCCGGUUGCUUUAACGAGCUGCCGGUGGACGCAGGUCGUUUACUUUGAAAAAAUUAGAGUGUUCAAAGCAGGCUAGCGCUUGAAUACAUUAGCAUGGAAUAAUGGAAUAGGACUUUGGUGCUAUUUUGUUGGUUUAUGGGACCGAAGUAAUGAUUAACAGGGACAGUUGGGGCCGUUUAUAUUUCGUUGUCAGAGGUGAAAUUCUUGGAUUUACGAAAGAUAAACUUCUGCGAAAGCAUUCGGCAAGGAUGUUUUCAUUGAUCAAGAACGAAAGUUAGGGGAUCGAAGACGAUCAGAUACCGUCGUAGUCUUAACCAUAAACUAUGCCGACUAGGGAUCAGUGGAUGUCAAUUUGCGACUCCAUUGGCACCUUGUGAGAAAUCACAGUUUUUGGGUUCCGGGGGGAGUAUGGUCGCAAGGCUGAAACUUAAAGGAAUUGACGGAAGGGCACCACCAGGAGUGGAGCCUGCGGCUUAAUUUGACUCAACACGGGGAAACUUACCAGGUCCAGACAUAGUAAGGAUUGACAGAUUGAAAGCUCUUUCUUGAU
rnacentral:rRNA from 1 species